rnacentral:rRNA from 1 species
CCUACGGGAGGCAGCAGUGAGGAAUAUUGGUCAAUGGCCGGAAGGCUGAACCAGCCAAGCCGCGUGAAGGACGAAGGUGCCAAGCAUUGUAAACUUCUUUUGUCAAGAGACAAAAUCAGGCUCGAAAGCCUGCCCGAGGUUACUUUAAGAAAAAGCAUCGGCUAACUCCGUGCCAGCAGCCGCGGUAAUACGGAGGAUGCGAGCGUUAUCCGGAUUUAUUGGGUUUAAAGGGGGCGUAGGGGGGCUGUUAAGUCAGCGGUAAAAGCCCGGGGCUCAACCCGGGCGAGCCGUUGAAACUGGCUGUCUUGAGAGGGCGAGAGGUAUGUGGAAUGCGCAGUGUAGCGGUGAAAUGCUUAGAGAUUGCGCAGAACUCCGAUUGCGAAGGCAGCAUACCGGCGGCGAUCUGACGCUGAGGCACGAAAGCGUGGGUAUCGAACAGGAUUAGAUACCCGAGUAGUC